rnacentral:tRNA from 1 species
AUUUAUAUAGUAUAGAAAUUAUAUUUAACUUCCAAUUAGAAGACCUAUUAAUUAGUAUAAAUA